UCUUACUCUUUUAAUCUUUCUACCUAUCGCUACUGUAGUCUCGCUGGUUUGCUGUGAACUAUGGAAACAAGUCCAAACAAAAUCUUUCAUGUGACUGGAUACAAUGUUUUUUAAUACCAUGGUACCUGAAAAUGCCAUCAUUCACAAAGUUUUUUUUUUAAAGCUCUAGGCCAUGUUUAUAAAUUCCAUCCCAAAAUCAGCACAGAAAAUAUAAAAUGAAGUCUUAAGUUUCUUAGUGGGCCUGUUCAUGACACAUUUGCAGAGAUGUAAAGUGUUUCUGUCUGGUGAACACACAUAUGACGUAUGAUUAAAUGUACAGGGCAAAGUGAGGUUUAAAGGAGUAAAAACUUUGUCAGUGCCAAGAUUGGUUCAUAGAAAAGAAGGACCCUGACGAGCUGCCUAAGAUUUAGCAAAUUGCUUUAUCUUGUUUUAUUUUUGUCUUCCCAGUUCCCACAUUUCAGGCCGUUUAACUGGGCACUGCAGACUCUUGUAACACAAACAAUCCAAUUAAACACACCAUGUAUUCUCAGAAGAAUCUAUUAAACACUUACAACUGUGA